rnacentral:rRNA from 1 species
CCUACGGGAGGCAGCAGUGAGGAAUAUUGGUCAAUGGGCGAGAGCCUGAACCAGCCAAGUCGCGUGAGGGAGUACUGCCCUAUGGGUUGUAAACCUCUUUUGUCGGGGAGCAAAAGCCGGACGUGUCCGGCUGUGAGAGUACCCGAAGAAAAAGCAUCGGCUAACUCCGUGCCAGCAGCCGCGGUAAUACGGAGGAUGCGAGCGUUAUCCGGAUUUAUUGGGUUUAAAGGGUGCGCAGGCGGAUUUUUAAGUCAGCGGUAAAAUCGUGGGGCUCAACCCCAUCCAGCCGUUGAAACUGGGGAUCUAGAGUGUGCGAGAGGUAUGCGGAAUGCGUGGUGUAGCGGUGAAAUGCAUAGAUAUCACGCAGAACCCCGAUUGCGAAGGCAGCAUACCGGUGCACAACUGACGCUCAGGCAUGAAAGCGUGGGUAUCGAACAGGAUUAGAUACCCGUGUAGUC